GGGCCAAUGGGGGGGGCGGCGCGGUUCGCGUCGCGUCAAGUUGCGUCGCGCUUUCCCGUGGUGCCGCGCGGUGAACGGCGGCAGGAGUGGUCGCGACUCCAUCCGGGUAUCGGUGGGCUGUGGGUCACCCUGCGGCAGGCCCGGAAGUACCGCCCCCGGGCGCUCCUGAGUGGUGGGUUGGCCCCGUCGCCCGCUGGGGAUAGGCUGCGGAUGCCGUCAGCGGCUGGGUACGUCACUUCCGCUACCGAGUGUGUGGGCAGGGGAGACCUUGGCCGCAGGGGGGAGGCCACCCCCCACCCCCGGCCGUUACUGGGGCUGCGUGCGGGGGUCACUUGUCCUGCCCCAUCUCGGGCACCGAGGAGCACUGACCUGCGGUGGGGAGCGGUGGCCGAAGGAACUUGUGUCGGGGUGGGCUGGGAGAUGCGGUGGGCAGGACUGCAGGCGGCUGUGGGAAGCAGGGAGGGUGUUAGAUACGGGGUGGGCCGGCAGGACACGGUACCGCGUAGGAAGAGUGAAUCUCAGGAACGACGAGGCAGAAGUUGAAGAAAAUACCUUAUGAAACGUCCCUCCUUUGGCAGCUAAACAUGUUGUCGGUAAACAGCAGAGUAAGGGGUGGGGUUGUACAAAACUAAGCUUGGAACACUCGUCAGUAUAUGCUGUAUAAUCGAAACUAAGCACUUGUGUUAUGUUUCAGUACUGUUAGCACAGUGUAGAAUCUGUCCUAGGUAAGUGGCAAUGUGCUUAUGGGGUCUUUCUUAUGGCACAGCAUAGUCAGUUUUAGAGAAGGACACUAUGCAAUCAAAUUAUGUUUUUAUGAUUUAUUUGUUGUAGGAGUGGAAACUCAAGGUUAUGAUAAUCCUCAUUGAUAGAUUUGCCUUUUCUGUGUUCUUUAUGCUCUCUAAUUGUACUACUUUGCGCAGACGGUUUUCUAACUGUAAUAUGAGUCUUAACUGACAUGGAAAAAUUGCUUCCAUUAACAACAUACCUAGAAAUCCUACAGGAUGAUGCUUAAUAAAAAUGUGUCAAAUUUAAUCCAUGACAGAAUUUUUGGGGAAAUGAAGCUGUCCUUUCAAAAGCAAUAUUAUUUCUUUAACUUAUUUAAACAACAUUUAGGGAAUGGGACAUCCUCUUCCUGGGCUCUCCAAGCAGGUAUCAGCAUCUCCAGCUGCCAGGGGAGUUCACCAGACUAGUUACCAGCAUGGCUCCUGUUGUCGCAUUUGACAUGUUCCGUUCACAGCAACAUUCGGGCAUUAAAUAGCCUGAAGUUACCCAAGGUGUUAUUUACAGCAUGACUUCAAACUUGCUGUGGUCUUUCCAGCGUAGUCAGCCUGCACUAUGAGAUUUAGUAGAUUUUUUUUGCCCUGUCCCAGCUGGCUUUGUGAAGAGGGACUUGCUAAGUAGCUGUAUGGUGAGAUCUGUAAUGUUAAGUUGUUGACGGUGACUUUUUUUUCACUGAGCUUCCCAACAAGUGAUACUUUGUAGGUCUUAAAUGCAACCUCCAUUCCCACAGGUCAUGCCAGGAAGUUCUUUUGCAUGCUAAGACUGGAGACUUGGCAAAAGGAAGCUCAGAUAAAACAUCAAAUCACUUUGUUUUUCUACUCCUACAAGCUGUAUACUUAUGUCACUUUCCUUUUGAAAAUGCUUUCUGUAUUUUCCUCUGUUGUCAGUCAGGGAAAACAGCGGUUCAUUCACGAAAUGGUGAAAGGCUCUUAGGAUGUAAAAAGGGCAAUAGAUGUUUAGUUCUGAUGCCAAUUUGUAACGUAGCACAGCGUUUUUGAAAACAUUCUUGGGCACUAACUGCAUGUGCAACUCAUGCACAACUGAAACACUACUCAGGUGAAUGAAUAGUACACAUUGGUCUAUUCCUAAGUAAGAUUACAUUCCUGUUUGAGGUGGGAACAAAUAACCAAAACGAUGGUUUCCUUUGAGAGGUGCACUGAGGCCUUGGUACUGUUUGAAGCUGCAGCUAAGCCCAAGUGUGCUCCCAUACCUCUUUCAUCUGCCAGUGACUGACAGAUGUGUAUUCCAAAAGGAUUUGUGAACACCUGGUAACAUUGUAGUGUAGUCACUUUCCUUGCUACAACAUAUUCUCUACUUUCAUGGAGGUUUUUGCCAGCACUGUGCAGUGCUGUCAUGCACACAGCACUUACGUGCAGGUUUAAUCCUAACGUUGUACAGGAGGAUGCUAGGAUUUGCAUUACUGUGGUUCUAUGUUCAUGUUAGAAAUAAUUAAUUAUGAUCACAUAACUUCACCUUUCCAGAGGAGAUGUGCUUUGUUCAGCGCAUGAGUGGGCAAUAGUAACUUCUAACUCCUGUCAAGCCGUGGUUUCCGGAUAUUUAUAUUCCAGCUGUAACUGCAUGGUUAGAAAAACAAGUCCAAAUCAAACCUACUAAUUGCAAAUGUGGCAUAACAGUAAAAUUUUCUAAUUAUGUAAACCCAGAACACUUUAUGUUAAAGCAGUUAAGUGUAAAUGGGAUAGAGAUUUUUGUAAAAAAUACUGGCAUUUCCGAUUGAGACACUAGAUUAAUACCACCGAUUGUCACCAAUAACAUAUUCAUCUUGUGGUGUGUGAAAAAUGCCCGGGUCACACGCACGUAGUGCUCACACAUCCCUGUCAAGGCACGUGGCCUUUGGUACUGCUUGUGCUUGGAGUUAAAGCCCAUCUCUAAAUCUGUGUAGCGUUGUGCACUGAGCCUGCUCGUACUCCUUUUCUCCUCUUUGUAAGAUUUGCCAGUUCAAACAAGUGUUUUGGUGUGGUUUACACUUACUCUAGUGUAUUGCUGCUAAAUGGACUAGCACGGCCAGAGAGGUAUUAGAUUUUAAAUGUUUGGGCAUAAGCAGGGGAUUCUUAAGAGGGUGCCUGGACUUCAGCUGGCAAGCGUUACAUUCUGAUGAAAGAGGUUUUGCUUUCUUGGUCAGUGCCUAUUUUCAUUGCAGGUGAACUUGCUUGGCACAAAGUUCAAAAAAAACCCCAACAAACCAAGUCAAAACUCUCUAAUCUGUUUAGUCCUAAUCUUCAUACAGGUUUCUAAUUUACAGCGUUGACUUGUCUGUUACAGUUAAUUUUUUCCACUGAAUUUUCUAAAGUGGGAUUUAAGCUCUAGAGUAAAAUAGUGUUUUCCGUUAACAAGCUGUUUACAAAUUUACAACUGCCAAAUGAUCUUUUCACGGAUGCGCUGCAGCAUUGUGGACCUCAGGUAGAGCUAUCCAUUUAUCUCCCCACUGCGUAUCAUAGGUGUCAGUAAAGCACAGUUUGUGGAGGAGAUAUUCCUCCUAUAAACCCACUUUCAACUUUAGGUGGUUUGUUCUGUGCUGCAAAGUGGACAAAAUAACUGGGAGAAUAAAGCAUUUGUCUUGUAGGAGCACACUGAGAGGAAAUGGGUCUUUUGUUAUUUCCACAAAGACGUGUUUUGUUCCUUCAGCAGAGUAACGAAUAAAAAUCAUACCUGUCA